CCAUAAUAUUCCACGGAAUUUUGUAUAACCAUGUUUCAGUCUCUUUUUCCAGAAAACUGUUGGUGAUUAUGAGGCCAUUAGGAGGAGAUAUUUUUUCCUAUCUCUUUCUUCAAUUUAUUUUUAAACUAAUAACAAGUUUAUAGGAGUUCGAUCCAAGCACAACAAUGUCUGUCUGCAUAGCGUGUCAGGCAUGAGACCAUUGUUGGUCCUGCUAUUGAUGAAUAGUGACUCAUGAGAGUAUGUUAUUUCUUCCUCAGGGAUUGAUUUCUGGAGAAUUAUUAACAAUUUGGUCAUUUUAAUUUUGUUUGCAUUAUGAUUUACAGAUAAAAUUGUCUCCAAAGGAACACUGAGUAAACACAGAGAUGAUGAGACAACACAAGAGUUGCGAGAGCGGAGAAAGAUGUUCCAGAUCCUAACAAAUCUUGGACUCCGGAUGAAUUAGAGAAAGGAGGUUGUCUCCUGAGGAAAUCUUAUCCCUUCAGAUGUUUAAGAACUAUACAGCUGGAAAUCCUGCUCCUGUGUUGUAUGUUAAGGAUUUGGCAAAAGAUGUGAUUGCUGAUGACUUCUAUUAUAUACUUGGGUCUUUGUUUGGAAGUGUUGGGGCUGCUAAGUCUGCUUUCCAAGUCAAGCUAAUGCAGUUUAUUAACAUAUCCGCUCAGGGUUACAUGGUUGAAGGUUGACUCAACUAACCUGCAUUAUAUAUUAGUGAAGAUCUUGUAGUAGCAUAUCUGUGAAACUGAAAUUGAUAGCUAGUUUUCAA